GAUGAACGCUGGCGGCGUGCCUAACACAUGCAAGUCGAGCGAACAGACGUGCAGGUUGAUCUUAUGCAGUUAGCGCCGGACGGGAGCGUGAAAAGUACAUAACCUACAUAUAAGACUGGGAUAACUACGGGAAACAGGACACCAUAUACGAUAAUAUACUCUACUGUAUGGUUCAAUAGAGAGAGAUGCUUUUGGUGACACUUAUAGCCGGUUCCGUGUCGGAUUAGCUAGUUGGUAAGGUAACGGCUUAUCAAGGCUCCGAUGCGUAGCCGACAUGAGAGGGUGAGCUGGCACACUGGAACUGAGAAACGGUCCAGAGUCCGACGGGAGGCAGCAGUGGGGAAUAUGGGACGAUGGGCGAAAGCUUGACGGAGCAACGCCGCGUGAGUGAUGAAGGUCUUCGGAUUGUAAAACGCUGUUAUUAGGAAAGAACAGAUGUGUAAGUAGCUAUGAACGUCGUGACGGUACCUAAAGAAAAAGCCACGGCUAACUACGUG
rnacentral:rRNA from 1 species